rnacentral:rRNA from 1 species
GUGGGGAAUUUUGGACAAUGGGGGCAACCCUGAUCCAGCCAUUCCGCGUGAGUGAAGAAGGCCUUCGGGUUGUAAAGCUCUUUCGUCAGGAACGAAACGGCGGGCUCUAACAUAGCCUGUUAAUGACGGUACCUGAAGAAGAAGCACCGGCUAACUACGUGCCAGCAGCCGCGGUAAUACGUAGGGUGCGAGCGUUAAUCGGAAUUACUGGGCGUAAAGCGUGCGCAGGCGGAUUGUUAAGCAAGACGUGAAAUCCCCGGGCUUAACCUGGGAAUGGCGUUUUGAACUGGCAGUCUAGAGUGCGUCAGAGGGGGGUGGAAUUCCACGUGUAGCAGUGAAAUGCGUAGAGAUGUGGAGGAACACCGAUGGCGAAGGCAGCCCCCUGGGAUGACACUGUCGCUCAUGUACGAAAGCGUGGGUAGCAAACAGGAUUAGAAACCCUGGUAGUCC